ensembl:snoRNA Gm24728 predicted gene, 24728
AUACCAGAAGCUAAUUUGGGGCAAUUAUUACCUUUACCAACUUGGGCAGUUUGGCGGAAUGAGUAAGUCUACACUCCAGAAUGGGUUAUCUCGCUUAGUGUGAUUCAUUGCUAUCUUGUAGCCCACACU